rnacentral:tRNA from 1 species
UGGGGUGAGGCGCCACAGGCAGGCGCACCGGGUUGUUACCCCGGCCGUUGUUGGUUCGAGUCCAACUGCCCCAG